ACCCCCUCCCAGAAAGGGAAUUGUACAAGCCCAAGGCCCUCAACUAUAGAAGUAAAAAGUAAGUUUUUAGAUACACAGACUCAGAACUAAAAUAAGCCUGGAAAAGUUCAGAUGUGUCCAAGCUUUGUGGGACAAGCUGACCCAUCAUUUAGACGAAACAGACCAUAAAAGAAAACAAAAUACAGAAACCAGACUAAAUUAUGGACAUUGCUCCAUGGGCCACCUGGCAGGAAAAAGAAACAGUCUCUGACUCCCCAGAAGCCCUGACCACCAUGUACUUUUUGCUAUCUCACUGUUAUGAUUAUAGCCAAAAUAGGUAACAUACACGUAUGCCUCAUUUACUCCACGAAUCACAUCCCUGUAACCAUGCAUCUGCUUCUGUAAGCCUGCUUCUGCUCCCCAAUGCCCUAUAAAAACCCGUCCCUGGUUCUGCUAGGCGCGCCAGUCUUCCAAAUUGACUGGGACGCCCACAGGUACCUGUGUAUCCUGAUCAAUAAAAAUCCUCUUGCAGAUUGCAGCCUGUGGACUCGGACUGGUCAUUGGGCUCGAGGAUCUCCCUCCUGAGGGAAGAUUCUCUCUGAGAGUCUUACAUUAUGGGGGCUCGUCCGGGAUCGGAGAUCCUCUGCCUAGAGACCGCUGACCACCCACCGGGAGGUCUUCUUCACCACUGAGGAAAGACGGAAUCCUACUAGAGGCCAGAAAGAAUGUUCCAGACAUGGAUGGAAGACCCUCACUCCUGACUGUUGACUUGAAUACCCCUGAAGCCCAUCAGCAGAGGGGCCUGCUGACAUCUGAGGGCAAGAAAAAAAAAGAAGGGCCCUCCAUGACCCAGCCAGGCCGAGGAAGAGACUCUGGUACACCUCAACGAGAAAGAAGAUCCUGCUACAAUUUUUACAGACAGAGGCCAUGGUAAAACAAAUGCAUCAAUAGACUCACUUAGGGGUAAGCAAACUCAUCCAGACAUUUUCAAAAACUAAAUAUUAUGUCACAGGUCUCAAGUAUCUCGUGGAACAGAUAGUGCACUGAUAUAUACCAUGCCAAAAGGUAACUGUUUUCAGGAAAGUUGACUGUGGUAGGAGGCUCUGUGGGGAACGGCCUGGAUACUACUGAGAAGUGGACGGGAGAUAAAACCAGGAAAAUAUGGUUAUAAAUGUCUCCUAGUGUUUAUAGAUAUCUUUUCAGGAAUAGAUAGAAGCUUUCCCCACCAAGCAAGAGACGGCCUCAAGAAGAUACUGGAAGAAAUCUUCUCCCUGUUUGGAGUGCCCAAGGUAAUUGGGUCAGACAACAGCCCUACUUUCGUUGCCAAGGUAAGCCAGGGUGUGGCCAGGUAUUUAGAGGUUGAUUGAAAAUUACGUUGUAUUUACAGACCUCAAAGUUCAGGACAGGUAGAGUAAAUAAAUAAAAUUUUAAAAGAGACCCUGACCAAAUUGACCAUGGAGACUGGCACAGACUGGGUGACACUCCUUCCCUCUUGCUCUCUUCAGAGCAAGAAAUAUCCCUUCCAGAUUCAGCCUUAUCCCCUUUGAGAUCUUAUAUGGGGCCUCAGCUCCCCUGACUGUAUUAGAUGAUGUUACUGAACCAACAUGUCAUAGUAAUAAUGAUUUGUAUGCCAGGCUAAAAGACCUACAGGUGAUACAGAAAGAAAUCUGCUCGAGGGCCCAGGAGCGGCAGGACCCCUGCCACAGACACCGCCGGACCCUGAAGGAAACAGACCGGAUAAACAGUUCUCUGCACCCAAAUCCCGUGGGAGGGAGAGCUAAACCUUCAGAGAGGCAGACAGGCCUGGGAAACCAGAAGAGACUGCUCCCUGCACACACAUCUCGGACGCCAGAGGAAAAAGCCAAAGACCAUCUGGAACCCUGGUGCACUGAAGCUCCCGGAAGGGGCGGCACAGGUCUUCCUGGUUGCUGCCGCUGCAGAGAGCCCCUGGACAGCACCCCAGAGCAAACCUGAGCCUCGGGACCACAGGUAAGACCAAAUUUUCUGCUGCAAGAAAGCUGCCUGGUGAACUCAAGACACAGGCCCACAGGAACAGCUGAAGACCUGUAGAGAGGAAAAACUACACGCCCGAAAGCAGAACACUCUGUCCCCAUAACUGACUGAAAGAGAGGAAAACAGGUCUACAGCACUCCUGACACACAGGCUUAUAGGACAGUCUAGCCACUGUCAGAAAUAGCAGAACAAAGUAACACUAGAGAUAAUCUGAUGGCGAGAGGCAAGCGCAGGAACCCAAGCAACAGAAACCAAGACUACAUGCCAUCAUCGGAGCCCAAUUCUCCCACCAAAACAAACAUGGAAUAUCCAAACACACCAGAAAAGCAAGAUCUAGUUUCAAAAUCAUAUUUGAUCAUGAUGCUGGAGGACUUCAGGAAAGACCUGAACACACUUAGGGAAGCACAGGAAAACAUUAAUAAACAAGUAAAAGCCUACAGAGAGGAAUCGCAAAAAUCCCUGAAAGAAUUCCAGGAAAACACAAUCAAACAGUUGAAGGAAUUAAAAAUGGAAAUAGAAGCAAUCAAGAAAGAACACAUGGAAACAACCCUGGAUAUAGAAAACCAAAAGAAGAGACAAGGAGCUGUAGAUACAAGCUUCACCAACAGAAUACAAGAGAUGGAAGAGAGAAUCUCAGGAGCAGAAGAUUCCAUAGAAAUCAUUGACUCAACUGUCAAAGAUAAUGUAAAGCGGAAAAAGCUACUGGUCCAAAACAUACAGGAAAUACAGGACUCAAUGAGAAGAUCAAACCUAAGGAUAAUAGGUAUAGAAGAGAGUGAAGACUCCCAGCUCAAAGGACCAGUAAAUAUCUUCAACAAAAUCAUAGAAGAAAACUUCCCUAACCUAAAAAAAGAGAUACCCAUAGACAUACAGGAAGCCUACAGAACUCCAAAUAGAUUGGACCAGAAAAGAAACA